rnacentral:rRNA from 1 species
AGUGAACGCUGGCGGUAGGCCUAACACAUGCAAGUCGAACGGCAGCACAGUAAGAGCUUGCUCUUACGGGUGGCGAGUGGCGGACGGGUGGGGAAUACAUCGGAAUCUACUUUUUCGUGGGGGAUAACGUAGGGAAACUUACGCUAAUACCGCAUACGACCUACGGGGGAAAGCAGGGGAUCUUUGGACCUUGCGCGAUUGAAUGAGCCGGUGUCGGAUUAGCUAGUUGGCGGGGUAAAGGCCCACCAAGGCGACGAUCCGUAGCUGGUCUGAGAGGAUGAUCAGCCACACUGGAACUGAGACACGGUCCAGACUCCUACGGGAGGCAGCAGUGGGGAAUAUUGGACAAUGGGCGCAAGCCUGAUCCAGCCAUACCGCGUGGGUGAAGAAGGCCUUCGGGUUGUAAAGCCCUUUUGUUGGGAAAGAAAAGCAGCAGGUUAAUACCCCGCUGUUCUGACGGUACCCAAAGAAUAAGCACCGGCUAACUUCGUG